CCUACGGGGGGCUGCAGUCGAGAAUCAUUCGCAAUGGGCGAAAGCCUGACGGUGCGACGCCGCGUGGAGGAUGAAGGCCCUAGGGUCGUAAACUCCUGUCAUCAGGGAGUAAAGACUCGUGUAGUCACUGACACGGGUCCUGAUAGUACCUGAAGAGGAAGGGACGGCAAACUUCGUGCCAGCAGCCGCGGUAAUACGAAGGUCCCAAGCGUUGAGCGGAUGUAGUGGGCGUGGAGAGUCAGAUGGCGGCGCCCGGGGCGCAACCCCGGAACUGCAUCCGAUACUGCCUUGCUAGAGUAUUGGAGGGGAGUCUGGAAUUCUCGGUGUAGCAGUGAAAUGCGUAGAUAUCGAGAGGAACACUAGUGGCGAAGGCGAGACUCUGGACAAUUACUGACGCUGAGAGACGAAGGUCAGGGGAGCGAAAAGGAUUAGAUACCCCAGUAGUC
rnacentral:rRNA from 1 species